CCCUUAGAUGUUCUGGGCCGCACGCGUGUUACACUGAUGCGUUCAUCAAGCACCACACCUUGGCUCGAGAGGCCUGGGUAAUCUUGAAAUCGCAUCGUGCUGGGGAUAGAUUAUUGUAAUUUUUAAUCUUCAACGAGGAAUUUCUAGUAGGCGUUUGUCAUCAACAAGCACCGAUUACGUCCCUGUCCUUUGUACACACCGCCCGUCGCUACUACCGAUUGGAUCAUUUGGUGAGGCCCGCGGACUGUUGCGCUUUCUUCCUCGUGUUGAUUGCACUUCUUGGGAAGCGGUACGAACCUGAUGAUCUAGAGGAAGUAAAAGUCGUAACA
rnacentral:rRNA from 1 species